GAUAUAAAUUUACAGCGCCAAAAUUAUUUUAAAAUAUCAUAUUUGCUCCUUUCUCCUUUCAGGUUGCGAUGGCGGUCGACAAAAAGUAUGGAACAGUAAAGGCUGCUAAUGUUUGAGGUUCUUCCCAAUUGGGAAGGACAAACAAAGGAGUGGUGUCGACAACCAAAAAAAAAUCGACGAGCGAAAUAAAAUGCCUGGUUACCUAACCUUGAAUAGAGCUCUUUUCAACGUCGUGAACCUGCACCUCAAUCAAAAUGAAAACGGCGGAAUUUAAUCAUUUAGCUUCGUCGUCCGUCUGUCUGUCCGGAGUUCAGUGUGACAAAUGUCGAUUGGGAAUGAUACCAGGCCACGCUGGAGCAGCAAUGGCGUAAAAUCUGCGCCUCCCUCGAUGGAUUGGACGGGCGAUGGUGUGGCUCGUUGACUCCAGUUUCCUGGUCUGGAUAUUUAGGUUUAAGAUUUAUUUUUUUUUUAGUUUUAGAAUUUCAAUUGUUUUGUUUUCAAAUUUGUUUAAUUGUUUCCAAACUUUGUUCAAUUUUUUUCCAAAUUUUGUUUAAAUUUUAAAAUAAGUUUAAUUUUUUAAUUUUCAUGAAAUUAUUUGUUUUAGUUAUAAGUUUUUAACUUUUAAACUUUUAGCCUUUUCUUGAUAAAUUUUGUUUAAUCGUUUUAAGGCUUUCAAUUUUGUGUAGAAAAAGUUUGUAUUUUGUGUUGUUUGUUUAUAAGUUUCAAACAAAUAAAAAAAUUGAAUUCACUCUUCAACAA